rnacentral:misc_RNA from 1 species
AACGCACAUUGCGCCUUAAGGUAUUCCUUGAGGCAUGCCUGUUCGAGCGUCGUUUAAACCCAUAAAGCAUUGCUUUUGUGUUGAAGUUUGUGUGCAAUUCACAACUUCUAAAACGAUUGGCAUCUUAUGAUUCAGAUCAAACGCAUCGAUUUGUGUUUUUAAGAAUCAAAAGAUUGUUGACUUAUUAUUCAAAAAGUCGACCUCGGAUCAGGCAAGACUACCCACUGAACUUAA